AAUGUGGCACCAGAGGCCAAUAGCAGGGGAAGCGAUUUCAAGUAUCCAAUCAGAGCUGAUCCAGGGCGGAGUCUACCAAUGCCGAAAGAGAGGAGGCGGGGUAAAAAAGAGAGGGCGAAGGUAGGCUGGCAGAUACGUUCGUCAGCUUGCUCCUUUCUGUCCGUGGACGCCGCCGAAGAAGCAUCGUUAAAGUCUCUCUUCACCCUGCCGUCAUGUCUAAGUCAGAGUCUCCUAAAGAGCCCGAACAGCUGAGGAAGCUCUUCAUUGGAGGGUUGAGCUUUGAAACAACCGAUGAGAGCCUGAGGAGCCAUUUUGAGCAAUGGGGAACGCUCACGGACUGUGUGGUAAUGAGAGAUCCAAACACCAAGCGCUCCAGGGGCUUUGGGUUUGUCACAUACGCCACUGUGGAGGAGGUGGAUGCAGCUAUGAAUGCAAGGCCACACAAGGUGGAUGGAAGAGUUGUGGAACCAAAGAGAGCUGUCUCGAGAGAAGAUUCUCAAAGACCAGGUGCCCACUUAACUGUGAAAAAGAUAUUUGUUGGUGGCAUUAAAGAAGACACUGAAGAACAUCACCUAAGAGAUUAUUUUGAACAGUAUGGAAAAAUUGAAGUGAUUGAAAUCAUGACUGACCGAGGCAGUGGCAAGAAAAGGGGCUUUGCCUUUGUAACCUUUGACGACCAUGACUCCGUGGAUAAGAUUGUCAUUCAGAAAUACCAUACUGUGAAUGGCCACAACUGUGAAGUUAGAAAAGCCCUGUCAAAGCAAGAGAUGGCUAGUGCUUCAUCCAGCCAAAGAGGUCGAAGUGGUUCUGGAAACUUCGGUGGUGGUCGUGGCGGUGGUUUUGGUGGGAAUGACAACUUUGGUCGUGGAGGAAACUUCAGUGGUCGUGGUGGCUUUGGUGGCAGCCGUGGUGGUGGUGGAUAUGGUGGCAGUGGGGAUGGCUAUAAUGGAUUUGGUAAUGAUGGUGGUUAUGGAGGAGGCGGCCCUGGUUACACUGGAGGAAGCAGAGGCUAUGGAAGUGGUGGACAGGGUUAUGGAAACCAGGGCAGUGGCUAUGGCGGGAGUGGCAGCUAUGACAGCUAUAACAACGGAGGCGGAGGCGGCUUUGGCGGUGGUAGUGGAAGCAAUUUUGGAGGUGGUGGAAGCUACAAUGAUUUUGGCAAUUACAACAAUCAGUCUUCAAAUUUUGGACCCAUGAAGGGAGGAAAUUUUGGAGGCAGAAGCUCUGGCCCCUAUGGCGGUGGAGGCCAAUACUUUGCAAAACCACGAAACCAAGGUGGCUAUGGCGGUUCCAGCAGCAGCAGUAGCUAUGGCAGUGGCAGAAGAUUUUAAUUAGGAAACAAAGCUUAGCAGGAGAGGAGAGCCAGAGAAGUGACAGGGAAGCUACAGGUUACAACAGAUUUGUGAACUCAGCCAAGCACAGUGGUGGCAGGGCCUAGCUGCUACAAAGAAGACAUGUUUUAGACAAAUACUCAUGUGUAUGGGCAAAAAACUCGAGGACUGUAUUUGUGACUAAUUGUAUAACAGGUUAUUUUAGUUUCUGUUCUGUGGAAAGUGUAAAGCAUUCCAACAAAGGGUUUUAAUGUAGAUUUUUUUUUUUUUUUUUUUUGCACCCAUGCUGUUGAUUGCUAAAUGUAAUAGUCUGAUCGUGACGCUGAAUAAAUGUCUUUUUUUUUAAUGUGCUGUGUAAAGUUAGUCUACUCUGAAGCCAUCUUGGUAAAUUUCCCCAACAGUGUGAAGUUAGAAUUCCUUCAGGGUGAUGCCAGGUUCUAUUUGGAAUUUAUAUACAACCUGCUUGGGUGGAGAAGCCAUUGUCUUCGGAAAACUUGGUGUAGUUGAACUGAUAGUUACUGUUGUGACCUGAAGUUCACCAUUAAGAGGGAUUACCCAAGCAAAAUCAUGGAAUUAUUGGUUAUAAAAGUGAUUGUUGGCACAUCCUAUGCAAUAUAUCUAAAUUGAAUAAUGGUACCAGAUAAAAUUAUAGAUGGGAAUGAAGCUUGUGUAUCAUCCAUUAUCAUGUGUAAUCAAUAAACGAUUUAAUUCUCUUGAAUGAAAUGACAACUGUAUGGAUUUGGGACUGGCAGAGAUUUGGACUUUUCCCUACCCACUCCCCCUGAUGAUAAUGUUGAAUGCUUCUAUCACAAUUCAAGUUCAAAGCUCUGCCAGGGAAUAGAAACUAGCUGCUGGCUAAUGCCACUCCAUAAAUCCACAGAUUUGAAGUGUCUGGGAGGCCUUUUAAAAAUAACCAAUAUCAGAAAGCAUUUUAAUGAACGUAAAGAUAGGCUUACAUUAAAGGAAAACUGCAGUUUGACUGGGUUCUGGUUGGGUGGGCCUUCAGAGGAGGUUCUGUCAGUUAACUAUACUAAUAAAUUUGGAGAUUGAAACCAUACCAAUAGAAACUAAAUUUUUCUACAUAAUUUCAUGUUAACUGCAGUUUCCCUUUAUGGCACAAGGUCACACAACCUACCUAAAAUGUUAAUUGUAUAGAAAAUGAUUUCUAAACCUUUAACAGUUAAUAUCCAAUAAUGUGUUAUUUGUACAUAGAUUCUUUUGAGCCUUACCUUUGGUGCACUCAAUUUCAGUGCUGUUGUACGUAGUAGCAUAGAGAUUUGUCUAUCAAUAGGACUGUAUAUUCCAUCCCAUGGGUGUGUUGGAAGUUUGGGGAGGAGGGUGGUGGGAGGUGGGUGGGAGGUGGUGGUGGGUGGGAAAGCAUGGGUGAUAGUUCCAUGAUACUGGCUGAGUUUGCAAUAGCAGGUGGAACCCUAACUAUUGAGGGAGUUUGCAGAUACCUCAGGAUUCGUGACAAUGCCUUUAAAGAUCCAGGAGAGAUGUUCAGCUACUAGGAACUGCUAGCAAGUAUAGCGCGAAUGGCUCCGAGCUCAGACACUCUACAGCUGAGAGUAGACACUUGUGGUAUGUGGAGUACAGAUAAGCCAGGGGCAGGCCACGGCACGCUCCAUGAAAGCUAGGAGGGAGCGAAAUUUCAGUGAUCAUCGCAAGGAAGGAGGCAGACAAGAGUAAGGCACACCUGACUCUUAGGACUAGCAGUCAGAACCAGGAGGAAAGGUUUUAUUGCUAUGCGGGUAGGUAAGAACAGAUUUUACUUACAUCCAUAUAGUUACUUAAAGUCCAGUUUUCUGUUAAACAUUUUUCUUAAUAUAUUGAGCCAAAACUAGUCCAGUUAAGCUGAACUUGGUUUUUCUGGAGAUGAAUUGUUUUAAAUUGACACCCUAUUGGUGGCUCCCAGUUGAAGGAAGUGAGCACAUUAUUUGUACUGUGAAUAUAUAAAUUUUUGCCCUUUUAUUUAUCUUCCUUUGACCCAUUUCCUUAAAAUAAUGGCUCAAAGUAAUAGACUCUUCCCCAAAUGGUGGGGGGAUGGGUGGGUUAUUAAUGGGAGGUAUGGGGGGUUUAGCUUGAGAUGGGACUUGGUCUUAGAAGAGAGCUAGUUCUAAAGGUUGUUUACUUUUCUAGGGAGGAGUCUGCUACUAGUCUUAUCAGCUCUUAAAAACAGAAACUCAUCUGUCCAAGUUCGUGGCAGAAAGGAACGUCCUUGUGAAGACCUUUAUCUGAGCCACUGUACUUCAUUAUCACUGCCAUGCAGUUCAUAUGAGCUGUUCUGCAGCUCAAAUUCCAUUUUGUGAAUGGGUUUUUUUUUUUUUAAUAAACUGUGUUUAACUUA